GUCUGCUGUGAUGAAUAACCCUCUGGUUCUGGAGUGUAGAAAAUGCAUCUGUCUUCUGGUGCAGUGCUCUUGGACCUGGGCUCCCAGUCUCAGUGGCAAAUACUAUUCCAAGGUGCGACAUGCCCCUCUAGCAGAGUCUGGAGUCGGAAAUAUGAAGGUGGUGGGUUGGACCACAGAAAGAAAGCUAAAAAAAGAAAAGAACCAGGAAAUUCUUCCAGAAUGACUAUGCAAUGUAGACUUGACUUGGUUCAUCAAAUAGCUUGGAUCUCUUAGAAGAUACGGGAAUCCAAUUAAAUGAUAAAAGUCCUAAAAUAUUUACAAAGAAAAUAUGCAGCUCAAUAAGAGAUUAUUAAAUAUAAUGUGCCACACACAUGUCUAAUUUUGUUCUUCCAGUGGCAGACGGUAAACAGGAUGUUGAGAAACUGAGAUUGGGGUCUCUCAGUCUGCAGGAGCUUCUUCACGGGGGACGGUUGUAAACAGGAACUCUGCCAGGCGUCCUGGGCUGGGGACCCUGUGAUCUCUUUCGGCAUUUCCUGAAGUUUUUCAUCUGGAACAGGCUGACUCCGAUGUCAUCCCAGAACCUGUCCUUUAUGCCUGAAAGAGCUAGAAGGAUUGGAGGCACAGACCAGCCCACGAAGACUAAAAUGUUUACUAUCUAGCCCUUUACAUGAAAAGUUUGUGGACCUCUGCUUUAAAUCAACGCCUGAAAUUGCAACUUUCUGAGUUCUUCACUUAGAACAAGAAUAUUACCUUUCACAAUACAUGGAAAACCGAUUAAAUACAUUCAUUAAC
rnacentral:lncRNA from 1 species